GAACUAAAGAGUUUGAUCCUGGCUCAGAUUGAACGCUGGCGGCAUGCUUUACACAUGCAAGUCGAACGGCAGCAUGGGCUUCGGCCUGAUGGCGAGUGGCGAACGGGUGAGUAAUACAUCGGAACAUGCCUCGUUGUGGGGGACAACUACUCGAAAGAGUAGCUAAUACCGCAUAAGAUCUACGGAUGAAAGCAGGGGACCUUCGGGCCUUGCGCAAUGAGAGUGGCCGAUGGCAGAUUAGGUAGUUGGUGAGGUAAAGGCUCACCAAGCCUGCGAUCUGUAGCUGGUCUGAGAGGACGACCAGCCACACUGGGACUGAGACACGGCCCAGACUCCUACGGGAGGCAGCAGUGGG
rnacentral:rRNA from 1 species